rnacentral:rRNA from 1 species
GCAGUCGAGGGGUAUAGUUCUUCGGAACUAGAGACCGGCGCACGGGUGCGUAACGCGUAUGCAAUCUACCUUUUACAGAGGGAUAGCCCAGAGAAAUUUGGAUUAAUACCUCAUAGUAUAUAGCCCUGGCAUCAGGAUUAUAUUAAAGUCACAACGGUAAAAGAUGAGCAUGCGUCCCAUUAGCUAGUUGGUAAGGUAACGGCUUACCAAGGCUACGAUGGGUAGGGGUCCUGAGAGGGAGAUCCCCCACACUGGUACUGAGACACGGACCAGACUCCUACGGGAGGCAGCAGUGAGGAAUAUUGGACAAUGGGCGCAAGCCUGAUCCAGCCAUGCCGCGUGCAGGAUGACGGUCCUAUGGAUUGUAAACUGCUUUUAUACGAGAAGAAACACUCCUUCGUGAAGGAGCUUGACGGUAUCGUAAGAAUAAGGAUCGGCUAACUCCGUGCCAGCAGCCGCGGUAAUACGGAGGAUCCAAGCGUUAUCCGGAAUCAUUGGGUUUAAAGGGUCCGUAGGCGGUUUAAUAAGUCAGUGGUGAAAGCCCAUCGCUCAACGGUGGAACGGCCAUUGAUACUGUUAGACUUGAAUUAUUAGGAAGUAACUAGAAUAUGUAGUGUAGCGGUGAAAUGCUUAGAGAUUACAUGGAAUACCAAUUGCGAAGGCAGGUUACUACUAAUUGAUUGACGCUGAUGGACGAAAGCGUGGGUAGCGAACAGGAUUAGAUACCCUGGUAGUCCACGCCGUAAACGAUGGAUACUAGCUGUUGGAAGCAAUUUCAGUGGCUAAGCGAAAGUGAUAAGUAUCCCACCUGGGGAGUACGUUCGCAAGAAUGAAACUCAAAGGAAUUGACGGGGGCCCGCACAAGCGGUGGAGCAUGUGGUUUAAUUCGAUGAUACGCGAGGAAACUUACCAGGCUUUAAUGUAGAUUGACCGGUUUGGAAACAAAUCUUUCGCA